GGGUAACGGCCCACCAAAGCGACGAUCGGUAGCCGGACUGAGAGGUUGAACGGCCACAUUGGGACUGAGACACGGCCCAGACUCCUACGGGAGGCAGCAGUGGGGGAUAUUGCACAAUGGGGGAAACCCUGAUGCAGCAACGCCGCGUGAAGGAAGAAGGUCUUCGGAUUGUAAACUUUUGUCCUCAGUGAAGAUAAUGACGGUAGCUGAGGAGGAAGCUCCGGCUAACUAC
rnacentral:rRNA from 1 species